CGGGACACGUGGUAUCCUGUCUGAAUAUGGGGGGACCAUCCUCCAAGGCUAAAUACUCCUGACUGACCGAUAGUGAACCAGUACCGUGAGGGAAAGGCGAAAAGAACCCCGGCGAGGGGAGUGAAAAAGAACCUGAAACCGUGUACGUACAAGCAGUGGGAGCACGCUUAGGCGUGUGACUGCGUACCUUUUGUAUAAUGGGUCAGCGACUUAUAUUCUGUAGCAAGGUUAACCGAAUAGGGGAGCCGAAGGGAAACCGAGUCUUAACUGGGCGUUAAGUUGCAGGGUAUAGACCCGAAACCCGGUGAUCUAGCCAUGGGCAGGUUGAAGGUUGGGUAACACUAACUGGAGGACCGAACCGACUAAUGUUGAAAAAUUAGCGGAUGACUUGUGGCUGGGGGUGAAAGGCCAAUCAAACCGGGAGAUAGCUGGUUCUCCCCGAAAGCUAUUUAGGUAGCGCCUCGUGAAUUCAUCUCCGGGGGUAGAGCACUGUUUCGGCAAGGGGGUCAUCCCGACUUACCAACCCGAUGCAAACUGCGAAUACCGGAGAAUGUUAUCACGGGAGACACACGGCGGGUGCUAACGUCCGUCGUGAAGAGGGAAACAACCCAGACCGCCAGCUAAGGUCCCAAAGUCAUGGUUAAGUGGGAAACGAUGUGGGAAGGCCCAGACAGCCAGGAUGUUGGCUUAGAAGCAGCCAUCAUUUAAAGAAAGCGUAAUAGCUCACUGGUCGAGUCGGCCUGCGCGGAAGAUGUAACGGGGCUAAACCAUGCACCGAAGCUGCGGCAGCGACGCUGAUGCGUUGUUGGGUAGGGGAGCGUUCUGUAAGCCUGUGAAGGUGUGCUGUGAGGCAUGCUGGAGGUAUCAGAAGUGCGAAUGCUGACAUAAGUAACGAUAAAGCGGGUGAAAAGCCCGCUCGCCGGAAGACCAAGGGUUCCUGUCCAACGUUAAUCGGGGCAGGGUGAGUCGACCCCUAAGGCGAGGCCGAAAGGCGUAGUCGAUGGGAAACAGGUUAAUAUUCCUGUACUUGGUGUUACUGCGAAGGGGGGACGGAGAAGGCUAUGUUGGCCGGGCGACGGUUGUCCCGGUUUAAGCGUGUAGGCUGGUUUUCCAGGCAAAUCCGGAAAAUCAAGGCUGAGGCGUGAUGACGAGGCACUACGGUGCUGAAGCAACAAAUGCCCUGCUUCCAGGAAAAGCCUCUAAGCAUCAGGUAACAUCAAAUCGUACCCCAAACCGACACAGGUGGUCAGGUAGAGAAUACCAAGGCGCUUGAGAGAACUCGGGUGAAGGAACUAGGCAAAAUGGUGCCGUAACUUCGGGAGAAGGCACGCUGAUAUGUAGGUGAAGCGACUUGCUCGUGGAGCUGAAAUCAGUCGAAGAUACCAGCUGGCUGCAACUGUUUAUUAAAAACACAGCACUGUGCAAACACGAAAGUGGACGUAUACGGUGUGACGCCUGCCCGGUGCCGGAAGGUUAAUUGAUGGGGUCAGCGCAAGCGAAGCUCUUGAUCGAAGCCCCGGUAAACGGCGGCCGUAACUAUAACGGUCCUAAGGUAGCGAAAUUCCUUGUCGGGUAAGUUCCGACCUGCACGAAUGGCGUAAUGAUGGCCAGGCUGUCUCCACCCGAGACUCAGUGAAAUUGAACUCGCUGUGAAGAUGCAGUGUACCCGCGGCAAGACGGAAAGACCCCGUGAACCUUUACUAUAGCUUGACACUGAACAUUGAGCCUUGAUGUGUAGGAUAGGUGGGAGGCUUUGAAGUGUGGACGCCA
rnacentral:rRNA from 1 species